rnacentral:rRNA from 1 species
UGGUGGAGUGAUUUGUCUGGUUAAUUCCGUUAACGAACGAGACCUUAGCCUACUAACUAGUCGCACCCAAUCUCGAUUGGUGCCGACUUCUUAGAGGGACUUUGUGACUAAACACAAGGAAGUUUGAGGCAAUAACA